CAGCCGCCACGGUAAAACGGAGGGUGCAAGCGUUAAUCGGAAUUACUGGGCGUAAAGCGCACGCAGGCGGUUUGUUAAGUCAGAUGUGAAAUCCCCGAGCUUAACUUGGGAACUGCAUUUGAAACUGGCAAGCUAGAGUCUUGUAGAGGGGGGUAGAAUUCCAGGUGUAGCGGUGAAAUGCGUAGAGAUCUGGAGGAAUACCGGUGGCGAAGGCGGCCCCCUGGACAAAGACUGACGCUCAGGUGCGAAAGCGUGGGGAGCAAACAGGAUUAGAUACCCCGGUAGUCCCUGUCUCUUAUAC
rnacentral:rRNA from 1 species